rnacentral:misc_RNA from 1 species
GUGAAUCAUCGAAUUUUUGAACGCAAAUUGCACUCUCUUCGGAGAGUAUGCCUGUUUGAGGGUCAGCCUAAAAAAAAAAUCGACAUAGUUGCUGUUUCGCGGUGUCAUUCUUGGGAAAUUGGGUCAUCUUAAACCUUUGGUUUUUAAGCGUCUUAAAAUUUUCUUUCCGAUUCCCCGACUGCUUUUAAGAUUUACUUCUUCCACUUUUAGGGUAUCGAUU